rnacentral:rRNA from 1 species
ACCAAAGGGGGGCUUCGGCUCUCGCCCUUUAGAUUGGCCCAAGUGGGAUUAGCUAGUUGGUGAGGUAAUGGCUCACCAAGGCGACGAUCCCUAGCUGGUUUGAGAGGAUGAUCAGCCACACUGGGACUGAGACACGGCCCAGACUCCUACGGGAGGCAGCAGUGGGGAAUAUUGCACAAUGGGCGCAAGCCUGAUGCAGCCAUGCCGCGUGUGUGAAGAAGGCCUUCGGGUUGUAAAGCACUUUCAGUCAGGAGGAAAGGUUAGUAGUUAAUACCUGCUAGCUGUGACGUUACUGACAGAAGAAGCACCGGCUAACUCCGUGCCAGCAGCCGCGGUAAUACGGAGGGUGCGAGCGUUAAUCGGAAUUACUGGGCGUAAAGCGUACGCAGGCGGUUUGUUAAGCGAGAUGUGAAAGCCCCGGGCUCAACCUGGGAACUGCAUUUCGAACUGGCAAACUAGAGUGUGAUAGAGGGUGGUAGAAUUUCAGGUGUAGCGGUGAAAUGCGUAGAGAUCUGAAGGAAUACCGAUGGCGAAGGCAGCCACCUGGGUCAACACUGACGCUCAUGUACGAAAGCGUGGGGAGCGAACGGGAUUAGAUACCCCGGUAGUCCACGCCGU